UUAUCAGACUUGUAGCAAAGUUGUUCUAACAAGCCUAAUACAGUCAUUACAUAACAAGAAUGUUACAAGGUUGUAACAAUAUUGUUAUAUCAUGACUGUAGCAGACUUGUUGGAACAACCUUGCAACAAGUCUGAUAA